rnacentral:rRNA from 1 species
UGGGGAAUAUUGCACAAUGGGCGCAAGCCUGAUGCAGCCAUGCCGCGUGUAUGAAGAAGGCCUUCGGGUUGUAAAGUACUUUCAGCGGGGAGGAAGGGAGUAAAGUUAAUACCUUUGCUCAUUGACGUUACCCGCAGAAGAAGCACCGGCUAACUCAGUGCCAGCAGCCGCGGUAAUACGGAGGGUGCAAGCGUUAAUCGGAAUUACUGGGCGUAAAGCGCACGCAGGCGGUUUGUUAAGUCAGAUGUGAAAUCCCCGGGCUCAACCUGGGAACUGCAUCUGAUACUGGCAAGCUUGAGUCUCGUAGAGGGGGGUAGAAUUCCAGGUGUAGCGGUGAAAUGCGUAGAGAUCUGGAGGAAUACCGGUGGCGAAGGCGGCCCCCUGGACGAAGACUGACGCUCAGGUGCGAAAGCGUGGGGAGCAAACAGG